GGGUAGGGGAAGUAACGUAGACGAAAGUUACGCUAAUACCGCAUAUUCUGUGAGCAGGAAAGCAGGGGAUCGCAAGACCUUGCGCUGAUUGAGCGGCCGAUAUCAGAUUAGCUAGUUGGUGAGGUAAAGGCUCACCAAGGCGACGAUCUGUAGCGGGUCUGAGAGGAUGAUCCGCCACACUGGAACUGAGACACGGUCCAGACUCCUACGGGAGGCAGCAGUGGGGAAUUUUUGGACAAUGGGCGCAAGCCUGAUCCAGCCAUGCCGCGUGAGUGAAGAAGGCCUUCGGGUUGUAAAGCUCUUUCGGCCGGGAAGAAAUCGCACGGGUUAAUACCCUGUGUGGAUGACGGUACCGGAAUAAGAAGCACCGGCUAACUACGUG
rnacentral:rRNA from 1 species